GGGAAUGUGGCUUAGUGAUAGAGCACUUGACUUGCAUUCAUGAAGCCUUGGGUUCAAUUCCCUAAUACACA
rnacentral:tRNA from 1 species